rnacentral:rRNA from 1 species
UACGUAGGGUGCAAGCGUUAUCCGGAAUUAUUGGGCGUAAAGAGCUCGUAGGCGGUUUGUCGCGUCUGCUGUGAAAACCCGGGGCUCAACUCCGGGCCUGCAGUCGAUACGGGCUGGCUUGAGUGCGGUAGGGGAGAUCGGAAUUCCUGGUGUAGCGGUGAAAUGCGCAGAUAUCAGGAGGAACACCGGUGGCGAAGGCGGAUCUCUGGGCCUUACCUGACGCUCAGGCGCGAAAGCUAGGGGAGCGAACUGG